GCACAUUGGACAGUGAAAUAAGAAGAAAACUAACGAAAAAACAGAGGAUCAGAGGUGAAAAAGAGAGAGAGAUAAAAUCAUUAAACGCUUAAAGCAAUGAUGAAUCUCCUCGUUAAAAAAAAAGAGCUUUAAAACAACAAAUCCCAAUUCCUCUUUAGCUUUUCAGGUAACAAAAAGCUCAAAGUCGCUGCCAAGAGAGAGAAAGAGAAAGGCCCCAUAAACGAAAGGUAAAAUGAUAGAAAUUUUUUAAUUGUUUUUUUUAUUUAAUUGCUGUAGGUCAUUUAUUUAUUUAUUUUUCCUUUUCCUUUUGUUGUUUUCGGUUUUUGUUCUGCAUGAAGUGAUUGAGUCAAAGUGAGAGGGCAGAGAGUUACGCGAGGGAAUUGUUUGUAUUAGGGUUUAUGGAAAGUUAAGUCCUCUUUACUUGAUCGGACGGUCGAAAAUAAAAGAUUUUAGGAACAAUUGUCAAUUCAGCUGAUCAGACCAGAAAGACCGGGGGUGGAGAAGGUCAUGUACGGUGGUCCCUACUUUACAGAGUGUAUUAUAUAAAAAUAUUCAUCUUUUU
rnacentral:lncRNA from 1 species